rnacentral:pre_miRNA from 3 species
GUUGAGGGGAAUGUUGUCUGGUUGGAGACCUGGCUCGCACGACGGCCGGACCCCGGAUCGAUCGACGGCGUGCGUGCGCGGUUUCGGACCAGGCUUCAUUCCCCCCAAC